GAACUACUUCAUUCAUGUGGACACUAUUGUCACAUUACUGUGCACUGUUUUUCUCACAUUUAACAGUUGGACCUUGUAGAUGAAAUUGUAAGAGUGAUCCUGAUACCUAAGAAGUAGACAUUUAUGAGUAAUCGAUGUGUAUUGAAGGCUCUGUAUAUCUUCAUAGUGUGGAGAGUUCUAGAUGGACCCAGAAUUGCAGAGAGACAAGGUCAGGGGAAGGAGCCGGGAAAGAGGUUAACAAGACCACAGAUGCUGCAGAUGGGACUCACACGAAGAUGUCCUUCCCACCAGCCAGGCCAUCGCUGGCUUUGUAAGACGCAGCCAACUGCCACCAGGUGGCAGAACAAGAUGAGAAAACCGUGCCCCACGGAGUCCCUGAGCCCCUGCUGCUGCAGUUUUUGAGUGAGUUUUCUCAGGGGCUGGAAUCACUCCUGGGGAACCAUCCCAAGGUUCUGCCCUCUUAAGCUAUUCCAGGGUGCACCCAGGGCCUGGUCCAGGGUUUCUGACGUCUAUGAUGACGCUUAAGGCAGUGACAUCGAUCAGCCGGGCCUCUGGGCUAGGAGACCCAGUUCACCUCCUCAUUAGUAACCCUGGGAUGUGGUAGUAGGUGGCUUUAGGCAGGAUGAGGGGCCAGUUGUAUCUGUCAGUAUGUCAGGGUAGUGACAUCUGUGAUUCUGCAGGGACAUUUGAACAGCAGGGAAUCAGAAACGCCAGAAAGUGAGGGUCCGCAACACAAAACCUUGCCAACUGCUGUGGACUGAAUUGCGUUCCCCCGCCCUGCAAUUAAUAUAUUGAAGCCCCGACCCCUAAUGGGACUGUAUCUGGAGCUAGAGGCUUUAGGAGGCAAUUAAGGUUAAAUGAGGUCAUAAGGGUGGAGCCCUGCUCCUACAGGAUUAGUGUCCUUAUGAGAAGAGACGCCACAGAGCUCAUUGUAUCUGUCAGUAUCUCGAGGUAGUGACAACUGUGCUUCUGCAGGGACAUUUGGGUAGCAGGGAGGUCUCUUCUUCUCUGCACUGCAUGCACCCAGGAAAGGCCAUGUGACGUCUUAGCAAGAAGGAGGCAAACCAUGAGGAGAGCCUUCAGCAGAAACCAAAUCGGCCAGCACCUUGAUCUUGGACUUCCCAGCUGGCAGAACUGUGAGAAAAUAAAU
rnacentral:lncRNA from 10 species